rnacentral:lncRNA from 1 species
GUGGGAUUUUUAGGAAAAGCUAUAAUAAUUUUUUUUUGUAGUCGUAACGAAAAAUUACGAUACUAAAUAUUUUAUAAUCAUUUUAAAAAAAUUAUAUUUUAGGGUUGAAGUAGUUAUUUGCACACAUUUGGUUCUUUGGGGCUUCUAAUUGAAUUAUUAUACUUCUAAUUAUAAAGUGUAAGAAAUGUUGCAGAGAAAAUGGUUUAUAUGAAAUAUUUUGU